rnacentral:rRNA from 1 species
ACGAAGGGGGCUAGCGUUGUUCGGAAUCACUGGGCGUAAAGGGCGCGUAGGCGGCUUUGUAAGUCGGGGGUGAAAGCCUGUGGCUCAACCACAGAAUUGCCUUCGAUACUGCAUGGCUUGAGACCGGAAGAGGUAAGUGGAACUGCGAGUGUAGAGGUGAAAUUCGUAGAUAUUCGCAAGAACACCAGUGGCGAAGGCGACUUACUGGACAACUGUUGACGCUGAGGUGCGAAAGCGUGGGGAGCAAACAGGA